GGGCGUAACUCAAUGGUAGAGUGUCAGCUUCCCAAGCUGGUUACGUGGGUUCGAUUCCCAUCGCCC
rnacentral:tRNA from 1 species